GUCAGUAAACCUCCAAACACCCCUGACUAAUGGGUGACUAAAACUAGUUUAGUCCCUAGUCACCCCACCCCCAACUAAAAGUGACUAAAGUCUCUUCUCCAAUUAAUUGGCGGGCCCAUCCUGUUGCAGGCUCAUCCUCCCAUGCUGGCACACCAAUGGAAGGGAGAUAAAUGAGAAUAAUUUAAUACAGAGACAUUUAAUGCUGACUAGUAGUAGUCACCUUCCAAACAGGGUCUGACUAAAAACUUCUAGUCUGACUACUACUAGUCACAUGACUAGAGAGUAUCCAAACACCCUCUAAG
rnacentral:lncRNA from 1 species